UACGUAGGGUGCAAGCGUUAAUCGGAAUUACUGGGCGUAAAGCGUGCGCAGGCGGUUUUGUAAGUCUGUCGUGAAAUCCCCGGGCUCAACCUGGGAAUUGCGAUGGAGACUGCAAGGCUAGAAUCUGGCAGAGGGGGGAUAGAAUUCCACGUGUAGCAGUGAAAUGCGUAGAUAUGCGGAGGAACACCGAUGGCGAAGGCAAUCCCCUGGACCUGUACUGACGCUCAUGCACGAAAGCGUGGGGAGCAAACAGG
rnacentral:rRNA from 1 species